rnacentral:lncRNA from 1 species
AGGAACAAGCUUACAAAUGCAUCCAAUUAACCUUCUGCCAACAAUUCUGGGACGUGAUUUCUUUUCCAGCCUUUGCAGGGAGAUCUCUCUUCCCAUCUCCUUCCUGGAAGACAGAAGCCUUGUGCGAGCCCCUUGUGUGAUGUCACCCCAGCUAGGGCCACCGGACGUUGGUCCUCAGCAGGGAGACUUUGGGUCCUCCACCAGGACCCAGGGCUGACCUGCAUGGCCAGGCCCCAUGGCCUGGGUAGAACCUUGUUUCUGCUCCAGAAUUCAUCUGUGUUCCCCAGUGCUCCCGGGGCCCUUGCACAGACCUCUGCGGCUCCAAAGGCUUCCUGCUGUAAUACUCUGUGCACACAGCUGAAUCCCUGACUCCACUCUGCUGAGAAGUGGCACAAAUUGCUUUUGUAAUAACAGGAAAAAACGAUCAACGAACCUUCAUUUAAGAAAAAGCACAGCGUUCUCAUGGGAACCAAGAAGACAAGCCCUUAAUGCAAAGUGUAUUCAGAGAGAAGAAAACAAGAAAAGCAGAGACGAUUGGAUUACAGCAAUUGCUCUUAUAACUCCUCUCCGCCCACCCCCUCGAUGAGAAGCUGGUUUG